CAACUGUCUUCCACAUAGAAGCUGGAAGAGCCCCUUUUCUAGCUUCCUUUGCCCUCAGGGCCAGGCUAUGCCAAGAGAUCACACCCUGCAUUUUGCAUCAGAAGCUGGCGUCAUGAAGUAGCAGGAUUUACAAGCCCCGUUCCCACAACAAUGGUGGCAGUGGUUCUGGCUGCCACAUCCAGUGUUCAAGGUUGCUGGACAUACACUGGGAGACAGAAGCAGCAUACGACAGUAGACUGGCAAUGAGACAGCGAGGAUCAACCAGAAGGACCCACGGGCCUCCAGCCUUUACAAUAGCAUCACCUCACGACAUCUCAGAGAGCCACGUACCCAACUGGAGGCCCCUGCUCCAUCCUUAGAGGGUCCACGCCGUGGAAUGGUGGCGGUCAGAGCAUCCAUCCUGCUGUCACUGUUGGCAAACAGAGCUGAUGUCUUCACGCUGAGAGAAUCAAUUUUGGUAAAGACAGGAAUGGAUUUGCUAGGACAGCACUUCCUAAUUCGUCUUCUACAGAGCCUCAGCGCCCCUCGAGAUGUUAAUAGUCCUUCUGAAGAACUGAAAACUGAGGGAGCUCUUUCACCAUCCAAAAAGACGGAGAAAUUCUUCCUGUUAUGUGCUGUUCUUGGG
rnacentral:lncRNA from 1 species